rnacentral:rRNA from 1 species
UACAGAGGGUGCGACCGUUGCUCGGAAUUACUGGGCGUAAAGCGCGCGUAGGCGGAUUGUUAAGUCAGAGGUGAAAUCCCGGAGCUCAACUUCGGAACUGCCUUUGAUACUGGCAAUCUAGAGUCCGGAAGAGGUUAGUGGAAUUCCCAGUGUAGAGGUGAAAUUCGUAGAUAUUGGGAAGAACACCAGUGGCGAAGGCGGCUAACUGGUCCGGUACUGACGCUGAGGUGCGAAAGCGUGGGGAGCAAACAGG